ACCUGUCUAGCUUAGUCGGUAGAGUGCAAGGCUUUUAACCUUGUGGUCAUGAGUUUGAGCCCCACGGUGAGUG
rnacentral:tRNA from 1 species